UUUCUAAAUAGUUUAUUUGAGAGGAUUAUUGGUUUAUUUUGACAUAUUCCCUCAUUCUCUUGACAGCUGGUAAAAAUGUAAUUCUGGUAGUGCUGCAUCACAACUUCAACCCAGACUCCACUGUACCUGACAGCAGCAGACUAGUGACCAGAAGUGAUGUAAUACUCAGUGGACUGUCUGUUCCAUGAGAACCAGGGAGGACUACUGGACUGUCCUCGCAAUGAUGCAGCAGUCAAACAGAUUAGGCAGAAGCUUGACAUGACAAGAAAUCGUGGCUGUGUAGCUAGGAGACGAAACUUAGUAAUGGUAUGUCAAAUCAUUGCAAAUGAUAAAAGUAACUAUAUGUAACAUCUGUCUUCAGAAAUGGACCAAGGCGCAGCGGGAAUGUGGAUACUCAU
rnacentral:lncRNA from 8 species